AAGACUAUACUUUCAGGAAUCAUUUUUAUAGUUCACUACUAGAGAAGUUUCUCUGAUGAUGUAGAGCACUGAAACCAUGAGGAGGUGUCAGAGCAUCCUCUCCGGAGCAUGAAGUCGGUUCUAGGUGUUGCUUUUGCAACUGCCCUUUACCAUUGAUGAUCGCUCUUCUCUUCCCUUCGAAUAGUGAGAGGAAGAGGAUGUAAUCAAGAAAAGA